AGUGAACGCUGGCGGUAGGCCUAACACAUGCAAGUCGAACGGCAGCACAGUAAGAGCUUGCUCUUACGGGUGGCGAGUGGCGGACGGGUGAGGAAUACAUCGGAAUCUACUUUUUCGUGGGGGAUAACGUAGGGAAACUUACGCUAAUACCGCAUACGACCUACGGGCGAAAGCAGGGGAUCUUCGGACCUUGCGCGAUUGAAUGAGCCGAUGUCGGAUUAGCUAGUUGGCGGGGUAAAGGCCCACCAAGGCGACGAUCCGUAGCUGGUCUGAGAGGAUGAUCAGCCACACUGGAACUGAGACACGGUCCAGACUCCUACGGGAGGAAGCAGUGGGGAAUAUUGGACAAUGGGCGCAAGCCUGAUCCAGACAUACCGCGUGGGUGAAGAAGGCCUUCGAGUUGUAAAGCCCUUUUGUUGGGAAAGAAAAGCAGCAGGUUAAUACCCCGCUGUUCUGACGGUACCCAAAGAAUAAGCACCGGCUAACUUCGUG
rnacentral:rRNA from 1 species